GACAAAGAAGCCAAUCUCAAACCUGCCAUCACCACACCAGUCCCUAAAGGGACAUAUCAAGGACAGGAAGAGCACAGGACCCAGAAGAUCAGAGAUAUUCUGGGAGACACUGAACCUGCUGGACAUAUGGAAGAAAAAAAAAAAAAAGAAAUGUUUUGGACACUUGCUUCACCUGUGAGGUGAAUGCUUUCCAUCUACUUUACACAUACAUAGAAGCUCUCCACCCCUUGGUGAGGGUCUAACACUGCUUGACACCUAAGAGGCAGCAUGGAACAUAUGUGGAAAAAAAUGAAUGAACGAGCCCUU